UGUAUAUAUCCUCUACAAUAAAUUUUCAAGUCUAAUCAUCACCCACCAUAUAACAACAAGCACUUUUGGUAAGGGCAUCCAAUGCAUGGCCACCACAAAACCUGAAUAAACGAUAACUAGUUAGAGAGCCUUAUCGUCCACCACCUCCACGCCCAGAGCCUUUAUAGAUGCUGCCGCUAGCAAUAUAGGGAUUUAUCUACUAUGCAGUUAAAUAUGGCAUGUGCAUCCAUAUUCCAAUCGAAUGUGAUGAUCGAGCUCGAGCCUUUAAUCAAAAACAUGAUCAUACAGUCUGGAUUUAACAU
rnacentral:lncRNA from 1 species